rnacentral:rRNA from 1 species
GUGCCAGCCGCCGCGGUAAUGCGGAGGGGGUUAGCGUUGUUCGGAAUUACUGGGCGUAAAGCGCGCGUAGGCGGAUUGGUAAGUUGGGGGUGAAAUCCCGGGGCUCAACCCCGGAACUGCCUCCAAAACUCCCAGUCUUGAGUUCGAGAGAGGUGAGUGGAAUUCCGAGUGUAGAGGUGAAAUUCGUAGAUAUUCGGAGGAACACCAGUGGCGAGGGCGGCUCACUGGCUCGAUACUGACGCUGAGGUGCGAAAGCGUGGGGAGCAAACAAGGUUAGGAACCCUGGUAGUCC